AUUGAACGCUGGCGGCAGGCCUAACACAUGCAAGUCGAACGAGUGGCGGACGGGUGAGUAAUGUCUGGGAAACUGCCUGAUGGAGGGGGAUAACUACUGGAAACGGUAGCUAAUACCGCAUACCAUCGGAUGUGCCCAGAUGGGAUUAGCUAGUAGGUGGGGUAAAGGCUAACCUAGGCGACGAUCCCUCGCUGGUCUGAGAGGAUGACCAGCCAGACUGUAAAGGAGACACGGUCCAUACUCCUACGGUAGGCAGCAGUGGGGAAUAUUGAACAAUGGGGGCAGGCCUGAGGCAGCUAUGCCGCGGGUAGGAGGAAGGCCUUCGGUUGGUAAAGUACUUUCAGCGGGGAGGCGUUACCCGCAGAAGAAGCACCGGCUAACUCCGUGCCAGCAGCCGCGGGAAUUC
rnacentral:rRNA from 1 species